AAACUAACAAGGAUUCCCCUAGUAACUGCGAGUGAAGCGGGAAAAGCUCAAAUUUAAAAUCUGGCGGUCUUCGAUCGUCCGAGUUGUAGUCUGGAGAAGCGUCUUCCGCGCUGGACCGUGUACAAGUCUCUUGGAACAGAGCGUCGUAGAGGGUGAGAAUCCCGUCUUUGACACGGACUACCAGUGCUUUGUGAUGCGCUCUCAAAGAGUCGAGUUGUUUGGGAAUGCAGCUCAAAAUGGGUGGUAAAUUCCAUCUAAAGCUAAAUAUUGGCGAGAGACCGAUAGCGAACAAGUACCGUGAGGGAAAGAUGAAAAGCACUUUGGAAAGAGAGUUAAACAGUACGUGAAAUUGCUGAAAGGGAAACGAUUGAAGUCAGUCGCGUCGUCUAGAACUCAACCUUGCCUCGGCUCGGUGCAUUUUCUAGUUGACGGGCCAGCAUCAGUUUUGACCGUCGGAAAAAGGUCCUCGAAAUGUGGCACCUUCGGGUGUGUUAUAGCCUUGGGUCGUAUACGACGGUUGGGACUGAGGACCGCAGCACGCCUUUAUGGCCGGGGUUCGCCCACGUACGUGCUUAGGAUGCUGGCGUAAUGGCUUUAAACGACCCGUCU
rnacentral:rRNA from 1 species